GGUUCGAGUCCAACGUUAAUCGGUGCUGGAUGAGUCGACCCCUAAGGCGAGGCCGAAAGGCGUAGUGGAUGGGAAUAUGGUUAACAUUCCAUUACUUCUGUGUAUUUCGAUGAGAGGUCGGAUAAGGCUAAAUCACGCUGGCGUCGGUUGUCCAGGUGAACGGAUGUAGGCAUGUAUCCU
rnacentral:rRNA from 1 species